rnacentral:rRNA from 1 species
AUUGAACGCUGGCGGCAUGCUUUACACAUGCAAGUCGAACGGCAGCACGGGCUUCGGCCUGGUGGCGAGUGGCGAACGGGUGAGUAAUGCAUCGGAACGUGCCCAUGUCGUGGGGGAUAACGUAGCGAAAGCUACGCUAAUACCGCAUACGCCCUGAGGGGGAAAGCGGGGGAUUCUUCGGAACCUCGUGCGAUUGGAGCGGCCGAUGUCGGAUUAGCUAGUUGGUGGGGUAAAGGCCCACCAAGGCGACGAUCCGUAGCGGGUCUGAGAGGAUGAUCCGCCACACUGGGACUGAGACACGGCCCAGACUCCUACGGGAGGCAGCAGUGGGGAAUUUUGGACAAUGGGGGCAACCCUGAUCCAGCCAUGCCGCGUGAGUGAAGAAGGCCUUCGGGUUGUAAAGCUCUUUCGGCCGGGAAGAAAUCGUGGUCUCUAACAUAGGCCAUGGAUGACGGUACCGGACUAAGAAGCACCGGCUAACUACGUG